rnacentral:rRNA from 1 species
UACGUAGGGGGCAAGCGUUGUCCGGAUUUAUUGGGCGUAAAGCGCUCGCAGGUGGUUCGAUGCGUCGUGCGUGAAAGACCCCGGCUCAACUGGGGAGGGUCGUGCGAUACGGUCGAACUGGAGGCCAGUAGGGGGAUGCGGAAUUCCGGGUGUAGUGGUGGAAUGCGUAGAGAUCCGGAGGAACACCAGCGGCGAAGGCGGCAUCCUGGACUGGUCCUGACACUCAGGAGCGAAAGCUAGGGGAGCAAACGGG